GAUGAACGCUGGCGGCGUGCCUAAUACAUGCAAGUCGAGCGAACAGACGAGGAGCUUGCUCCUCUGACGUUAGCGGCGGACGGGUGAGUAACACGUGGAUAACCUACCUAUAAGACUGGGAUAACUUCGGGAAACCGGAGCUAAUACCGGAUAAUAUAUUGAACCGCAUGGUUCAAUAGUGAAAGACGGUUUUGCUGUCACUUAUAGAUGGAUCCGCGCCGCAUUAGCUAGUUGGUAAGGUAACGGCUUACCAAGGCGACGAUGCGUAGCCGACCUGAGAGGGUGAUCGGCCACCCUGGAACUGAGCCACGGUCCAGACUCCUACGGGAGGCAGCAGUAGGGAAUCUUCCGCAAUGGGCGAAAGCCUGACGGAGCAACGCCGCGUGAGUGAUGAAGGUCUUCGGAUCGUAAAACUCUGUUAUUAGUGAAGAACAAAUGUGUAAGUAACUAUGCACGUCUUGACGGUACCUAAUCAGAAAGCCACGGCUAACUACGUG
rnacentral:rRNA from 1 species